rnacentral:rRNA from 1 species
UAAUACGUAGGGGGCAAGCGUUGUCCGGAAUCAUUGGGCGUAAAGCGCGUGUAGGCGGUCCGGUAAGUCGGUUGUGAAAGUCCAGGGCUCAACCCUGGGAUGCCGAUCGAUACUGCCGGACUAGAGUCCGGAAGAGGCGAGUGGAAUUCCCGGUGUAGCGGUGAAAUGCGCAGAUAUCGGGAGGAACACCAAUGGCGAAGGCAGCUCGCUGGGACGGUACUGACGCUGAGACGCGAAAGCGUGGGGAGCAAACAGGAUUAGAUACCCUGGUAGUCCACGCCGUAAACGAUGGGCACUAGGUGUGGGAGGUGUCGACUCCUCCCGUGCCGCAGCUAACGCAUUAAGUGCCCCGCCUGGGGAGUACGGCCGCAAGGCUA